AGUGGGGAAUAUUGGGCAAUGGACGAAAGUCUGACCCAGCGACGCCGCGUGCGGGAUGAAGGCCUUCGGGUUGUAAACCGCUUUCAGCAGGGAAUAAGCGCAAGUGAAGGUACCUGCAGAAGAAGCACCGGCUAACUAUGUGCCAGCAGCCGCGGUAAUACAUAGGGUGCAAGCGUUGUCCGGAAUUAUUGGGCGUAAAGAGCUCGUAGGUGGUUUGUUACGUCGGUUGUGAAAUUCAGGGGCUCAACCCCUGACUUGCAGCCGAUACGGGCAAGCUAGAGUUUGGUAGGGGAGACUGGAAUUCCUGGUGUAGCGGUGGAAUGCGCAGAUAUCAGGAGGAACACCGAUGGCGAAGGCAGGUCUCUGGGCCAAUACUGACACUGAGGAGCGAAAGCGUGGGGAGCGAACAGGAUU
rnacentral:rRNA from 1 species